CCAGACUCCUACGGGAGGCAGCAGUGGGGGAUAUUGCACAAUGGGCGCAAGCCUGAUGCAGCGACGCCGCGUGAGCGAAGAAGUAUUUCGGUAUGUAAAGCUCUAUCAGCAGGGAAGAAAAUGACGGUACCUGACUAAGAAGCUCCGGCUAAAUACGUGCCAGCAGCCGCGGUAAUACGUAUGGAGCAAGCGUUAUCCGGAAUUACUGGGUGUAAAGGGGGCGCAGACGGCAGCGCAAGCCAGGAGUGAAAGCCCGGGGCCCAACCCCGGGACUGCCCUUGGAACUGCAUGGCUGGAGUGCGGGAGGGGCAGGCGGAAUUCCUGGUGUAGCGGUGAAAUGCGUAGAUAUCAGGAGGAACACCGGUGGCGAAGGCGGCCUGCUGGACCGCGACUGACGUUGAGGCUCGAAAGCGUGGGGAGCGAACAGGAUUAGAUACCCCAGUA
rnacentral:rRNA from 1 species